AUUGAACGCUUGCGGCAGGCCUAACACAUGCAAGUCGAACGAGUGGCGGACGGGUGAGUAAUGUCUGUGAAACUGCCCGAUGGUGGGGGAUAACUACUGGAAACGGUAGCUAAUACCGCAUACCAUCGGAUUUGCCCAGAUGGGAUUAGCUAGUAGGUGGGGUAACGGCUCACCUAGGCGACGAUCCCUAGCUGGUCUGAGAGGAUGACCAGCGACACUGGAACUGAGACACGGUCCAGACUCCUACGGGAGGCAGCAGUGGGGAAUAUUGCGCAAUGGGCGGAAGCCUGAUGCAGCCAUGCCGCGUGUAUGAAGAAGGCCUUCGGGUUGUAAAGUACUUUCAGCGGGGAGGCGUUACCCGCAGGAGAAGCACCGGCUAACUCCGUGCCAGCAGCCGCGGUAAUUC
rnacentral:rRNA from 1 species